rnacentral:rRNA from 1 species
UAAGACGAACCGUGCGAACGUUAUUCGGAAUCACUGGGCUUAAAGCGCGUGUAGGCGGGCCGGCACGUCGGCCGCUGAAAGCCCCCGGCUCAACCGGGGAAGCGGCGCCGAUACGGCCGGCCUGGAGGGGGGUAGGGGGACCUGGAACUUCCGGUGGAGCGGUGAAAUGCGUUGAGAUCGGAAGGAACGCCCGUGGCGAAAGCGAGGUCCUGGACCCUUUCUGACGCUGAGACGCGAAAGCCAGGGGAGCGAACGGGAUUAGAUACCCCGGUAGUCCUGGCCGUAAACGAUGAGUGCUGGACGGGAGGGGGUUCGCCCUUUCCGGUCGGAGCGAAAGCGGGAAGCACUCCGCCUGGGGAGUAUGGUCGCAAGGCUG